CGUGGGUAUCCUUAAUGUGGUAAGAGGGAUUGGAUGUAGAACUUAUACAUUCUCAAUUCCAAUCUAGUCCACAUAGAAGUGCUAGUGAAGCAGCCAAAUGAACGUCUUGAGCUUAAACAAAACGUCAAAUGAACUGCCAUUUCUCUCUAUUUGCAGGCCUUAUUGCAGGCAUUUUGUUUACAUUAUUCGAGGGGGUGCUGGGGAUCGAUGACAUUGAAGGCUACAAAGAGUCGACCAACCAGAGUUUGAACAGAGCUUGGGGUCAUAGCCCAGCAUUCAUUAAUGGGAAGACAUUGGAGUGGUUGCAGGAUCUGUGGUGCCCAUUGCGAGUUUUAGAGGUGUAGGAGGUGGCGGAAGAAGCGGUGGAAGAGGUGGCAGAAGAGGCGGAGGAAUUGAUGGUGGAUUUACAACUCCAAAAAAAAAUCGACCUCGCGUAUUCUCUAUUUAAAAGCAGGGUUGACUACAUCAGAAGCAUCAAAUCCACAUCUGUCGCUUGCUGAUAGACAUCAUUCUUAAUCUUCCUGCAUCCACAUGUUUGGCUAUACAAUGAGAAAGAAGGAUGGAAAAACAUUGGUUCUACACAAUGAUACAGCAUUCAAAAUCAGAAUUAGAUUUAUAUUUAUUGGGCCUUCAUAAAUAAUAAUGUUUGUAGCUUACUUGUUUAUAAGCUUUAAAAAUGUGGUUAACUAUCUCACUUCCAUCAAAUACAGUUAUGUAACUUACCAAUAUACUCCAUUCUCAAUGUUGCUGCAUUGACAUGCUUGGCUUUAGAAUAAGGAGGAUGUGAAAACAGCUGUCCUGCGCAAUGACUUAUCAUUCAAAUCACAACUAAACACAUUUGCAUACAUUGACAAAUUUAUGUUUGAUUUUAAUGACAUUCAUGCAUAAUGCUCAUUGAAUGAAUGCUAUACAAGGUCUCCAAUUCUUCUUUAAAAUAUGAUUGUUCGAAAGAUAUGUAGUGGCAUUUAGAUUGACCUUUCAAUGAUUAUUAUUUGAUGGCUGCAACAUGUUUUGCUAGGAGUCUUGAUGCUAGAAUGUUGGAUGUGAGAAUAUCAUAAGCGUGCUCUACUAAAACAUGAGUCUAUUAAAAAUUAGGAGUAAAAUUAAGCAUAAGCUAGCUGUAGAAAAACGGAACUAAUGAAGCUAUGCGGAGGUAAGAUUGCUUUAAAAGCAAAAGCAAAUAAAUCCAUGCUAACGCCAAAGAUUUCUUUAGAAGAAAAAAAAGUUUUGAGAAUAAUAAUCAGACGCAAAAAUUACAACAGAUACAUUAACAGUAAGAUUCCAAGAAGCCAGAACCAGGAUUAUGUUGAAUUUAUUCCUUUCCCAAAACAACAAUUAGACGGAUCAGGUUAAUCUGGAUUGCAGCCUCUUCAAUUUCUUCAGGUUCUACAUUUUCACGAAAGGAGAACAAUUUUCAAAAUAUUAACUAAAAAUUAGCUACUUCAUAGUUCCAGGUCAAAAGACUACAGAAAAUUGUUUGAAAAUACUUACAAGAAGAUAUCAAAAUAUAAACAAAACUUAGGUACUUCAUAAUUCGAUUAGAGGGGACUACACAACUAUAAAGGACUAAAUUUUAUGUUCAUAAUUCCUACAGUAGUGAGUUUGAUAAUCAAAUUCAUGAUCCCAUCCAUAUCUUGUGAUCCUUAACUUAGAGUAGUCAUAUUUAAAACUGGGUGUUUUAUACCUAAAACAAAUGCUCACGUAAUGUGAGAUAAGAGUAGCAGUGACUGCUAAUGUGUUGGCGAUAGCGAAUGCUUUUAAUCCAUUUAGUAAAUUUGCUGAUAUUCUAAUACAAGUUGAUCAAUUACCCUAUCAUAUCAUCAAAUCUAUCAUAAAACCAACUAGGCUGUAAAAGCCCGAUAAAGAUCAAACUGGAAACCAAUUCCUUUAAAAGAAAAGAAAAAGGGUACAGCUGCCUGCCACUGGUUAAUGUUUCAGACGGCGAUAAGGAAAAGAAACAGAGUAGAGAAAAGUGUGCAUUAUAAUAUCUGAUUGCGUUAGCGUAGAAGAUAAGCAACUUAGCGAAUAAGGAAAGGCUUUUGACGUGGAUAUUCUUAACGUGCAAAAGAGGAUUGGAGGCAGAAACGAUAAAUUGUCAAUUCUUCAACACGAUCAAACUAAAAUACCAAUAUAGUCCACAUAGAAGUGCUAGUGAAGAAGCCAGAUGAACAUCUUCAGCCUAAACAAAACCUCAAAUGAACUGCCAUUUCUCUCUAUUUGCAGGCUUUAUUGCGGGUAUUUUGUUCAUAGUGUUGCAGGGAUCGGUAGGGAUCGAUUGCAUUGAAGGCUCCAAAGUGUCUGCCAGCCAGAGUUUGAACAGAACUUGGGGUCAUAGCCCAGUCUUCAUUCAUGGCAAGCCACUCGGAUCUGUGGUGCCCAUUGAGAGUUUGAGGGGGGUAGGAGGUAGUGGAAGAGGCGGCAGAAGAGGUGGCCGAGGAGGCAGAGGAACUGAUGGUGGAUUUAAAACUCCUAAAAGAAAUCGACCUCGCGCAUUCUCUAGUAACAACAACUCCGCCCUAAAAUCUCCAUUUGUGAACCUGGGCCUGUUAGUUUUUCUUUUGUUUUGCACAAUCUUCUUCAACAACACGUCAUAAUUUUUGGGCUAUGAAAUAAUACCUGUAUUGUAGAGAUCGUCAUGUCUUCGAAACAAAUUUCACAUAUUGUAACUCUGUACAAGCAAAAUAAAUUUAUCUUAUCGGCUGAAAAAACCACCGGCCAGAGACAAUGCAUAUUUGAUUCGUUCGAUAGGAUGGAGACAUUAAGCAUGUAGUCUUUAAUUCUUUACAGACGUAGUGGUCACUUCUUUUUAGAUUUGACCAAACAUUUUGGGCCACUGGCAAAUACUGUAUUUGAAAUAAAGGGGAUUGAAUUCAAUUCUGAAUAAAAUAUAAACCCGGACGAGAUCUAAACCUCACAGACGGCUUUACAGUCA